UUCGCUUCGAGCCUUGGCCGAGGACGGACGCGUCAAGCGGAGCUGCGAGAUUCCAGGAACAGCCUGUUUGCUCGCACACAGGCCAGGUAUGUAAUGAAAUUAGAAAAUGAGCUGAAACAUUAAACUCCUUGGACACUCCAUAGAAAGGAAGAAUUAUUUUCUGUUUAAUGCUGGCAUGUGAAGACAUUAGAACAUUUUCUUGUAGAUUAAAUUCUUUGGACAUUCAA